rnacentral:rRNA from 1 species
AUACGUAGGGUGCGAGCGUUGUCCGGAAUUACUGGGCGUAAAGAGCUCGUAGGUGGUUUGUCGCGUCGUCUGUGAAAUUCCGGGGCUUAACUCCGGGCGUGCAGGCGAUACGGGCAUAACUUGAGUACUGUAGGGGAGACUGGAAUUCCUGGUGUAGCGGUGAAAUGCGCAGAUAUCAGGAGGAACACCGGUGGCGAAGGCGGGUCUCUGGGCAGUAACUGACGCUGAGGAGCGAAAGCAUGGGUAGCAAACAGGAUUAGAUACCCUGGUAGUCCAUGCCGUAAACGGUGGGCGCUAGGUGUAGGGGUCUUCCACGACUUCUGUGCCGUAGCUAACGCAUUAAGCGCCCCGCCUGGGGAGUACGGCCGCAAGGCUAAAACUCAAAGGAAUUGGCGGGG